rnacentral:rRNA from 1 species
CGAAAACUUUGCAAUACACGAAAGUGUGACAGGGUCAUCCCGAGUGCCGACCGCUGAGGUUGGCUUUUACCCAGUCUAGAAAGCUGGGGGAAUAAGGAGAGGGCAAGUCUGGUGUCAGCCGCCGCGGUAAUACCAGCUCUCCGAGUGGUGUGGACGUUUAUUGGGCCUAAAGCAUCCGUAGCUGGCUGAACAAGUCCCCUGUUAAACCCACCGAUUUAAUCGUUGGUCUGCGGGGGAUACUGCUCGGCUAGGGGACGAGAGAGGCAGACGGUAUUCCCGGGGUAGGGGUGAAAUCCUAUAAUCCCGAGAAGACCACCAGUGGCGAAGGCUGUCUGCUAGAACGCGCCCGACGGUGAGGGAUGAAAGCUGGGGGAGCGAACCGGAUUAGA